GUGUUGACGGAUCUCCAGGCUCUGGUGUGAUUCCUUUGCCGCUGACACUCAUCAUCCCGCUGGGCCCCUGAGCUCCCCAGGCUGGCCCAGAGGAGCUCCAUCGGACCUGCUGCCCCGUGACGAGCAGCAUUUCUCUACAGGUACUCUGUGUCCUUGUGCCUUGGAUCCAGGACUCCCACCUUAACCUCUCACUUCUAACUGGAAGAGGGACCACUGGAGAUGCUGAAUUCAAGCACCCUAUGAUGGGUUUGAGGAUUUCCAUGAAACUUCAUGCAAAAAGGAUUGAACCAAAGCUGAAACCUGAAGCUAAGACUGCAAUCCAGGUCUCCCAUGUGAAUGACAGGUUACAAGGAAGAGACAGCCACACCUGCAGUUCACAGAGGGAGAUUAUUGUAUGGAUCAUAUCAGGAAACAAGAAAGCCAGGGAAACCAUCUGAACACCUGUACAGCCAGGGUGAGACGUGGCCAGAAGUUACAAGUUUGUUCAGAUAAUACUGAUCCAGAUCCAUCAACAUGUCCAAUACUCUUGACCUCAGCCAUGGAAUCCCACUUCGAAGCAUAUUGCCAGUAGAGAUGUGGAGCCAUGUGCUCCUACUGGACUGUGACUUAAGAAGAAAGAGGAGCAACACAGCACAUACAGAGAACAUGGAAAACAGAGGGGGAAUUGGCACAAUGAAACCUGUUGGUCUCACCUAGCUCUUGUCUUCAUACCUCAAAGCCGCUUAAUGUAUUAGUUCUCAUAACCAACCAUCUUCCAAGCAAUAUAUUCUCUUUCACAAAUUCAAAUCCUGUUUUUGCUAACACCAAAAUGAAUUUUAUUGUUAGUCAUCUGCAGCUAACAAAAUUGAAGUUGAGAGAUUUGUUUAUUGACACAACCCAGAUCACUGCUUUGUACUGACCCAUUAUGUCUCUCACCAGCCAAGGAUUGUGAGAUAUUAAAAAGAGCAUUUUCAGAUCUUUACAAUGUUCUUUUUUUUUUUUUUGAAGCAUUAAAAAUAUCCAUUUGAGAAUGGUUCAUUGACAACAUUUCAGUACUGGUUUAGCACUUUGAUGUUCAAACCUGUACAGAGUUUGGGGGGAAAUUGUUUUCUAAAGCUUUAAAGAGAAAUGAUUUUGAGUGUUUGAUAUGUUUGUAAAUGCCCCUUGGGAUGUGGUGACCAGCAGCCGCUGCUGGGCUUUUCUUCCUGUGAACCCCUGAAUAGAGAUGGGUUUUCAAUGUCUAUGGGGAACUUGAUAAGCUUCCCAUAGGCAGGAAUGAGUCAUACAUUGUGCAAUAUUCUUUUAUACGAGACAAUUAUAAAGCCU